CCUACGGGAGGCAGCAGUGAGGAAUAUUGGUCAAUGGGCGCGAGCCUGAACCAGCCAAGUAGCGUGAAGGAUGACUGCCCUACGGUUUGUAAACAUCUUUUAUAAAGGAAUAAAGUUAGGCACGUGUGCCUUUUUGUAUUUACUUUAUGAAUAAGAAUCGGCUAACUCCAUGCCAGCAGACGCGGUAAUACGGAGGAUUCGAGCGUUAUCCGGAUUUAUUGGGUUUAAAGGGAGAGUAGAUGGGUUGUUAAGUCAGUUGUGAAAGGUUGCGGCUCAACCGUAAAAUUGCAAUUGAUACUGGCAGACUUGAGUAUCGUAGAGGUAGGCGGAAUUCGAGGUGUAGCGGUGAAAUGCUUAGAUAUCACGAAGAACUCCGAUUGCGAAGGCAGCCUACUAAAC
rnacentral:rRNA from 1 species